rnacentral:rRNA from 1 species
UCAAGUUAUUAAGGGUGCAGGGCGGAUGCCUUGGCACUAGGAGCCGAUGAAGGACGUGAUAAGCUGCGAUAAGCUUCGGGGAGUUGCACGUAAACUUUGAUCCGAAGAUUUCCGAAUGAGGAAACUCACUUAGAGUAAUGUCUAAGUAUCAUUAAGUGAAUACAUAGCUUAAUGAGGGGAACUCAGGGAACUGAAACAUCUAAGUACCUGAAGGAAGAGAAAGAAAUUCGAUUCCGUAAGUAGCGGCGAGCGAACGCGGAUUAGCCCAAACCAAUAAAGUUUUCUUUAUUGGGGUUGCGGACAUAUCAUAACGAAGAGGUAUCGUAAUUGAAGAGGUUUGGAAAGACCCACCACAGAAGGUAAUAGUCCUGUAUGUUAAACGAGAAGACUUUAGAUAUGAUCCAGAGUACCACGGGACACGUGAAACCCUGUGGGAAGCAGGAGGGACCACCCUCCAAGGCUAAAUACUACCUAGUGACCGAUAGCGUAUAGUACCGUGAGGGAAAGGUGAAAAGAACCCCGGAGGGGAGUGAAAUAGAACCUGAAACCCUGCACUUACAAGCUGUGGAAGCACAUUUCUUGUGUGACCGCGUACUUUUUGUAGAACGGGCCAACGAGUUACGUUAAGUAGCAAGGUUAAGCACUUAAGGUGCGGAGCCGUAGCGAAAGCGAGUUUUAACUGAGCGUUCAGUUACUUGACGUAGACCCGAAACCGGGCGACCUACCCAUGAGCAGGAUGAAGCGAAAGUAAAAUUUCGUGGAGGUCCGAACCCACGAGCGUUGAAAAGCUCGGGGAUGACUUGUGGGUAGCGGUGAAAUUCCAAUCGAGCCCGGAGAUAGCUGGUUCUCCCCGAAAUAGCUUUAGGGCUAGCCUCAAGGUGAGAGAUACGGAGGUAGAGCACUGAAUGUCCUAGGGGGUAUUGCACCUACCGAAGACUAUCAAACUCCGAAUGCCGUCAUCUUAUACUUGGGAGUCAGACUGUGGGUGAUAAGAUUCAUAGUCGAAAGGGCAACAGCCCAGAUCGUCAGCUAAGGUCCCUAAAUGUAAGUUAAGUGGUAAAGGAUGUGGGAUUGCACAGACAACCAGGAUGUUGGCUUAGAAGCAGCCACUCAUUCAAAGAGUGCGUAAUAGCUCACUGGUCGAGUGAUCCUGCGCCGAAGAUUUCCGGGGCUAAAACUUACUACCGAAGCUACGGCAUCAGUAAUGAUGGGUAGGGGAGCUUCCCAUACGGGUUGAAGCAUGACCGUAAGGACAUGUGGACAGUAUGGGAGUGAGAAUGUUGGCAUGAGUAGCGAGAUGUGGGUGAGAAUCCCACAGGCCGUAAACCCAAGGUUUCCAGGGGAAGGUUCGUCCGCCCUGGGUUAGUCGGGACCUAAGCUGAGGCCGAAAGGCGUAGGUGAUGGACAACAGGUUGAUAUUCCUGUACUACCGAUAACCGUUUGAGAGAUGGGAUGACACAGUAGGAUAAGCUAAGCACACUGUUGGUUAUGUGUGCCCAAGCAUUGAGGCAGUCAAAGUAGGUAAAUCCGCUUUGAUAAUGCUGGGAUGUGAUGGGGAGCGAAAUUUAGUAGCGAAGUAGCUGAUUUCACACUGUCAAGAAAAGUCUCUAUCGAGGUUAAAGGUACCCGUACCGCAAACCGACACAGGUGGGUGAGGAGAGUAUCCUAAGGCCAGCGAGAGAACUGUUGUUAAGGAACUCGGCAAAAUGACCCCGUAACUUAGGGAUAAGGGGUGCCACCAUCAGGUGGCCGCAGAGAAUAGGCCCAAGCGACUGUUUACCAAAAACAUAGGUUUCUGCUAAGUCGCAAGACGAUGUAUAGGAGCUGACGCCUGCCCGGUGCUGGAAGGUUAAGGGGAUCUGUUAGAGCAAUCGAAGCAGUGAACUUAAGCCCCAGUAAACGGCGGCCGUAACUAUAACGGUCCUAAGGUAGCGAAAUUCCUUGUCGGGUAAGUUCCGACCCGCACGAAAGGCGUAACGAUUUGGGCACUGUCUCAACAACAGACUCGGUGAAAUUGUAAUUCCGGUGAAGAUGCCGGAUACCUGCGACAGGACGGAAAGACCCCAUGGAGCUUUACUGUAGCUUGACAUUGGGUCUUGGUACUACAUGUACAGGAUAGGUGGGAGGCUUUGAAACCAGGACGCCAGUUUUGGCGGAGCCAUCCUUGGGAUACCACCCUUGUAGUACUGGGACUCUAACCAUAGGCCAUGAAUCUGGUCUUGGGACACUGUCAGGUGGGCAGUUUGACUGGGGCGGUCGCCUCCCAAAAGGUAACGGAGGCGCUCAAAGGUUCUCUCAGUACGGUCGGAAAUCGUACGUAGAGUGUAAAGGCAAAAGAGAGCUUGAUUGCAAGACAUACAGGUCGAGCAAGGAUGAAAAUCGGACUUAGUGAUCCGGUGGUUCUGCGUGGAAGGGCCAUCGCUCAACGGAUAAAAGCUACCCUGGGGAUAACAGGCUUAUCUCCCCCAAGAGUCCACAUCGACGGGGAGGUUUGGCACCUCGAUGUCGGCUCAUCACAUCCUGGGGCUGUAGUAGGUCCCAAGGGUUGGGCUGUUCGCCCAUUAAAGUGGUACGCGAGCUGGGUUCAGAACGUCGUGAGACAGUUCGGUCCCUAUCCGUCGCAGGCGUAGGAAAUUUGAGAAGACCUGUCCUUAGUACGAGAGGACCGGGAUGGACGUACCUCUGGUGUACCAGUUGUCCUGCCAAGGGCAUGGCUGGGUAGCUAUGUGCGGAAUGGAUAAGCGCUGAAAGCAUCUAAGCGCGAAGCCAACUUCAAGAUAAGAUUUCCCACCGCAAGGGUAAGACCCCAGAAAGACUAUCUGGUUGAUAGGUCGAAGGUGUAAGUGCAGCAAUGUAUUUAGCUUAUCGAUACUAAUAGGUCGAGGACUUGACCAA